rnacentral:rRNA from 1 species
AACGAACGCUGGCGGCAUGCCUAACACAUGCAAGUCGAACGAGACCUUCGGGUCUAGUGGCGCACGGGUGCGUAACGCGUGGGAACCUGCCCUUAGGUUCGGAAUAACUCCCCGAAAGGGGUGCUAAUACCGGCUAAUGUCUUCGGACCAAAGAUUUAUCGCCUUUGGAUGGGCCCGCGUUGGAUUAGCUAGUUGGUAGGGUAAAAGCCUACCAAGGCGACGAUCCAUAGCUGGUCUGAGAGGAUGAUCAGCCACACUGGGACUGAGACACGGCCCAGACUCCGACGGGAGGCAGCAGUGGGGAAUAUUGGACAAGGGGCGAAAGCCUGAUCCAGCAAUGCCGCGUGAGUGAUGAAGGCCUUAGGGUUGUAAAGCUCUUUUACCCGGGAUGGUAAUGACAGUACCGGGAGAAUAAGCUCCGGCUAACUCCGUG